GCUGCUGUGGUGUAAUGGUAGCAUGUGAGCCUGUGGAGCUCCAGGCGGGGGUUCGAUUCCCCCCAGCGGCC
rnacentral:tRNA from 1 species